ACUCCUCAUAGUUUGGAAUGGUCGGAAGAGCGAUCAAGUAACGUAAUUUACCUGCGUGCCCUUCUUCAAUUCUAAUUCUGAGUGCACGGACAUGAAAUGGAGCUCUGAAAUCAAUGGCGGCCAGUCCUCAUGCACGCAUAGCUCAAUUUACAGCUUCACUGCCGGCAGACCUGUGACUCUCAUGGCGGCAAAGCUCUGCUCGUCGAGUGCGCGAACAAUUGCGAAGUUGCAGUGAAAACCUAUUGGAGAUGAUGACUGAUCCGGGUGCACGAGAGCCCACAGUCAUAUCAAUGAAGUACCACUCUGGGCUUUUCAUGCACCCAGUCGGUGCGUAAGCUCCCCGCGGAGGAAGCAUGUCAUAACGACGGCGUUUGCCUGGUGGUUGGCGCCAUUGUCACCAUUAAUACUCUUAUCUAAUCUUCUUCUUCUUCUUCCUUCUUCUUCUUCUUCUUCCUCCUGAAUUGUUUGGGAGUCUUCCCUACUGAGCUCAGUACCACCGAACCUGUCAGCACCUUUCACGACAAUGUCUUCUCCAGUGAAGCUCUACCUCCUCGCCUACAACUCUCUGCAAACCAUCGGAUGGGCGGUCUCUCUGUGCCGCAUUCUGAUCAGCCUGGCCACCACCAAAUCCGUCGCCGGCUCUUACGCGGCCGCCGGGGACCUAAUCUGUUUGCUACAGACUGUUGCUUUUAUGGAAGUUCUGCAUGGAGCUCUAGGCAUUGUGCCAAGCGGGGUACUGUUUCCGCUUAUGCAAUGGGGUGGGAGGAUGCAUUUCCUACUGGCAAUAGUCCGUCGAAUCAGCGAGGUGCAACAACUGCCAUCAAUUUUCAUUACCUUUUUGGCCUGGUCCUUAAGUGAUAUUAUUAGGUAUUUGCAUUAUGCUUUGAAUACUUUGGGAAGUUGUCCACCUUGGAUUACUUACAUCCGGUAUACUGCAUUUAUCGUCCUGUACCCUCUAGGAAUGGCGCCUGGUGAAAUGUUGAUUAUGAUCAAGGCACUUCCCAUCGUAAAGAUGACAAAUCUCUACGCAGAUUUUUUCAGUGGUCUCCCCUUCAAUUACUAUGAUUUUCUCAGGGGUCAGUUGAAGGGGUACCCAUUAGUAAACAGACUUUAUGCCCGGAGGGAGCUGCUGUUUUGCUUCUGGUCUACCCAUUCCUAUGGUUGAAACUAUACUUGCAUUUGUUCAAGCAGCGCCGGUCGAAGCUUGGAAAGUCCCAUAGAAAUAAGAAAGAAUGAAGGCGAGCCCAACAUUAUUAUUACUUUACAUUUCUAAACACCAUGUAAAGUGAUCGUUCUCGAGGUUUAACGGCAAAACAAUUCUUCAAGUACUGGAAAAUCGACAAAGUUAGCAUCCCAAUGUAAGUCAAACUCAGGUUUUCUUGUAUUUCAUGGAAUGUACAAGACCUCUAUAUGUCUCUGCAGAGCAUGGUUUCCCUUUAGAGAGAUUGUAAUUUCAUCUGUGUUAUUGCACUCCUUUCUUGUAAACACUUUAUUCUGGGCUGGCAUCGGCUUUAUACCUCGAGUACAUUUUUGUGAUUUGCUUCUGUUAUCUAUUUUUUGGGAAAGAAUGGUUAUGUAAAUGGAACAAAAAGAAUCAGAGCAUGCCAUUUUUGCUUCAAAUUUUA